rnacentral:rRNA from 1 species
GAUGAACGCUGGCGGCGUGCCUAAUACAUGCAAGUCGAGCGAACAGACGAGGAGCUUGCUCCUCUGACGUUAGCGGCGGACGGGUGAGUAACACGUGGAUAACCUACCUAUAAGACUGAGAUAACUUCGGGAAACCGGAUCUAAUACCGGAUAAUAUAUUGAACCGCAUGGUUCAUUAGUGAAAGACGGUUUUGCUGUCACUAAUAGAUGGUUCCGCGCCGCAUUAGCUAGUUGGUAAGGUAACGGCUUACCAAGGCAACGAUGCGUAGCCGACCUGAGAGGGUGAUCGGCCACACUGGAACUGAGACACGGUCCAGACUCCUACGGGAGGCAGCAGUAGGGAAUCUUCGGCAAUGGGCGAAAGCCUGACGGAGCAACGCCGCGUGAGUGAUGAAGGUCUUCGGAUCGUAAAGCUCUGUUAUUAGGGAAGAACAAAUGUGUAAGUAACUAUGCACGUCUUGACGGUACCUAAUCAAAAAGCCACGGCUAACUACGUG